rnacentral:rRNA from 1 species
AACGAACGCUGGCGGCAGGUCUUAGGCAUGCAAGUCGAACGGGUGUAGCAAUACAUCAGUGGCGCACGAGUGAGUAACGCGUGGGAAGCUGCCCUUCACUGGGGAAUAACGUCUGGAAACGAACGCUAAUACAGCAUACGCCGGAAACGGGAAAGAUUUAUCGGUGAAGGAUGCGCCCGCGUUGGAUUAGCUUGUUGGUAGGGUAACGGCCUACCAAGGCGAUGAUCCAUAGCUGGUCUGAGAGGACGAUCAGCCACGCGGGAACUGAGACACGGUCCAGACUCCUACGGGAGGCAGCAGCUAAGAAUAUUGGGCAAUGGAGGAAACUCUGACCCAGCCAUGCCGCGUGAAUGAAGAAGGCCUUCGGGUUGUAAGGUUCUUUUAGUCGUGAAGAUGAUGACAGUAGCGACAGAAAAAGCACCGGCUAACUUCGUGCCAGCAGCCGCCGUAA